UUUAAUGGCCGCAGUAUUUUGACUGUGCUAAGGUAGCAUAAUCAUUAGUUUUUUAAUUGGAAACUAGAAUGAAGGGUUGGAUGAAAAAAUAACUGUCUCUAUUAAAAUUUUAUAGAAUUUUAUUUUUAAGUUAAAAAGCUUAAAUAUUAUUAAAAGACGAGAAGACCCUAUAGAGUUUUAUAAAUAAUUAAGUUAUAUUUUUGGAAUUAAUUUUAUAAUUACAGUUAUUUAUUUAAUUGGGGUGAUUAAAAAAUUAAAUAAACUUUUUUUAUAAUUUUAUAUUAAUUAAUAAAUUAUUGAUCUAGAUAUUUUGAUUAUAAGAUAAAAUUACCUUAGGGAUAACAGCGUAAUUUUAUUAGAGAGUU
rnacentral:rRNA from 1 species